ACCUGCUUAGUGGCUCUAUUUUGGAAGAAGGCAAAAACGAAUGUCUGCUGAAUGAAGUGACUGGAUUAUCUAAGAGCUAGUUUCCCAGACAGAUUAAACCUAGUACUCAGAUUUAAAGACUUCCUCCAAUGAUUGUACUUGUCCUAUUGCAGUGGUAUCCCAAGUAUAAAUAUGAUGUACACUAAAGGGUGUAAAAAAAAGGGUGUAAAAAAAAAAGUUUUGUAUUUGGUGUUUUUUAUACAACUGCGAACUUUAAGGAGUUGGCCAUUCAAGAGUUGGUUUGAUUGGAAGUCUUGAUGUCAUCGGCCUCCCCAUUGCUUGAGGAGCACUAGAGAACAGAAGAGGGAAGGCCCACCCCCACUGGUGCUGUCAUGACUUGCAUGGAUCACCUGUUGAGGUGUUUAAUGAUGUGAUGAAGAGACAGACAGCUGCUGUUGUUGAAGAUUCACCAUUGAGGAUGCUCUUAGUCCAGGACUAGGCUUACUCAUUGACUGGGAAACUGGCCCUAAACAAAUUUGACAAGUUAUUUGUAGUGGAGUCAAAUCAGUUACUACACAGGCUCUCUUCCAAUACUCCAAUGAUGUAACCACAUCUAAAUUGUUUGGGGUGGUGACUACUAAGGUGGUAACAUUACUUACACAUAUCCAAUCACUUAUAGCCCUGUGCUUACUUCAUGGAUUUAAAUACAAAUAUGCUCCUGAAAGUGACAAGGUGAAGAACCUGCCAUUAUUACAGUUGCAGUACUAUUACUUUACCCACACUACCAUUUCAUGGAUUUGGGGCAGGAAUUGUGUAUAUAGACUUAGUGAACAAUCUGAUGGUUAGGGUAAAAUAAAAAGUGACUACAUGCUAAUUAUGACUAAUUGAAAGGUGUAGAUGGUAAGUUUAUUUUGGCAUGGUUAGCUGAACCCUGCACUUGUUGUGAACAGCGGUCUGAUCAAUUCGCUAUGAACUCAAAUAGGCCUAAGGACAGUACCAUUGACAUGCACGUCUAGGGCUAAAGUUCUCCAUGUCAGACUAGUGCAUAGUCAGAAUCGGCCUUGGGGUGGCAGGGUAGCCUAGUGGUUAGAGCGGCGGACUAGUAACUGGAAGGUUACAAGUUCAAAUCCCCGAGCUGACAAGGUCGCUCUGCCCCUGUUCCUAGGCCGUCAUUGAAAAUAAGAAUUUGUUCUUAACUGACUCGCCUAGUUAAAGGUAAAAUGAGACUCAUCCACUUCAUACAGAAUGUUCUACUUCAGAUAUUCACCUUGUUUGUCACAGCAUGCUCGAAUGUUAUUUAGUGUUUUGCUUUAUUUGUGGAAUGACAAUAGUAUGUCUACUACAUACAUAAAGGUUUGCGUCUCAAAUGACACACUAUUCCUAUAUACUGCACUACUUUCGAACAGUGAUGUAUGGGUCUUAAUCAAAUUAGCAGCCUAUAAGGAAUAGGGUGCCAUUUUGUUAUUUAAAAUAUAUUUAUUCAAAUUAGCAGCCUAUAAGGAAUAGGGUGCCAUUUUGUUAUUUAAAAUAUUGUUAUUAUUUAAAAUAUUGUAAGGUUUCGGGAUAGUAAAUUAGAACCCAUUAUCCAGCAUGCUUUUUCAGUUCCCUGUCUGUUAACACUGGGUCAUUGUCCAGCAGCUGUUUGCAGACUGGAAAAAGACCAGGCCAAAUCCUCAAACUGCGCCAUAUGACUACGGUAAUGCUAUCAGUUGUGCGUUAUUUCCAUGGCACUUUGGUAAACUUUGACAGAUUCUGCAUGUGAGUUUAUUUACACUAGAUGGGGGUGUUGCAAAGUCAAUGGGAGCUACCCAGAUAUCAAUGUUGCUUUUGUGAACAUUUCAUAAUUAUUCUAUAUUUGGCCUAUACCUAUACUUUUUUUCAUAAACUUGAGUAUCCAUUUACCACGUGCCAAGUCUUACUUUUUCCAAUUGCAUUUUUUUCAUUACUAUUCAUGUUCCUACUUUCAGGUUCUGCGCUUUCUCGCUUUGUCUCAAGCGUCUCUUAUUUCUACGCGCUCCCGUGUAGGGACGGCCCUUGUCUGUGGAAUGACUGAACCAGCAGACGGUAGCGGUAGGAUGGCUGUGGUUGAAACGGGCUGACCGGGCACGGUGUGCUAAUUUUCUUUUUCGCGAAUAAUUUUGGGAUGCUUUCCUUUAACGAUCUCCCUGCAUAUUUUGUCUACUGUGCGUGUGAACGAGUUUACAUUAUCCAGCAUGCUUUUUCAUUACUAUUUAUAGCUUUGUUACAGAAGACGGGAUUGAGCUGUCGGUUUACUAAAGAAGACUACUAGAUAUUGGAUAAUUAAACUCGGGCCAGGAUGUCUUCAAUACGGGAGGAUUAUAUGGCACCUUGGUGGACAUAUUGGCUACACAAUUUCCCUCAUGUCAACUUGAACUUUCAGCCCAUCGACAACACGUUCACCCCCCAGGAUCAGAACUACCAGCAGUCAUUAAUCUUCCUGGCCUGUAUGGUGGCUGCAGGGCUGGGCCUGAACCUGCUCUGCCUGGCCAUUUACCUGAGCUGCCUGUGCUGCUGUCGGAAAGACGACGAGGAGGAGGAGAGCAAGAGCCUCAACUCCUGCUGUGUCACCUGGUCCGCCGUCACCGCCGGACUCCUCAGCUGCGCUGCUGUGGGAGUGGGUUUCUAUGGCAACAGCGAGACCAACGAUGGGGUGUACCAGCUGACGUACUCCCUUUACAACACCAAUCAUACCCUGGGAGGGGUCGACAGCCUGGUGACGGGCACCAUGGGUAGCAUGGAGAGUGGUCUGAAGCAGCACCUGGCGAGGCUGGAUGAGAUCUUCGCUACGCGGGGAGACUACGUACAGACCCUACGCUUCAUGCAGCAGAUGGCUGACAACGUCAUCAAACAGCUGUUGGGCCUGCCUGACUGGGACAUGGCUAAAGUAGAUUUGGCCGCUAUCGCAGACCAGACCACAUACAUAGAGUACUACAGGUGGCUCACCUACCUGCUGCUACUGAUUCUAGAUCUGGUGAUCUGUCUGGCAGCUUGCCUGGGCCUAGCCAAACAGUCUCGCUGGCUGCUGACAACUAUGAUGGUGUUUGGGGUGCUGACAUUGAUCCUGAGCUGGGCGUCUCUGGGAGCUGACCUGGCCUCUGCUGUGAGCACCAGUGACUUCUGUGUGACCCCAGACAAGUUCAUCAUGAACCAGACCAAGGACCUAAUCAGUUCUGAGAUAGUGCAUUACUACCUGUACUGCAGCCAGGCCCUCCCCAACCCAUUCCAGCAGUCUCUGACCAUCUUCCAGAGGUCUCUGACCACCAUGCAGAUACAGAUACAGGGCCUGCUGCAGUUUGCUGUGCCUCUCUUCCCAACCGCCGAGAGAGACCUACUGGGCAUUCAGCACCUACUCAACUCAUCAGAGGCUAGCCUCCACCAGCUAACUGCCCUACUGGACUGUAGAGGACUCAACAAGGACUACCUGGAUGCCCUGAUCGGUGUGUGUUAUGACGGGGUAGAGGGCCUGCUCUACCUCUGCCUCUUCUCCAUCCUGGCAAUUUGUGCCUUCUGUGCCAUGCUGUGUGCCAUCCCCCGGGCAUGGACACAUAUCACCAGCAGGGAGCGUGAUUAUGACGAUAUAGACGAAGGUGACCCAUUUAACCCUCAGGCCAGACGCAUGACGACCCACGACUCCAACCAUGCCACCAACAUGCACCGCUUCUGCAGCUACAGCAGCAGUGUGGGCAGCCAGAGCAGCCUUCACCCGCCUGCCGCCCAGGCUGCCCAGACUGUGUCCAACGCACCCGUCUCAGAGUACAUGAACCAGUCAGCGUUGUUCGGGGGAAACCCGCGGUACGAGAACGUUCCUCUGAUCGGGAGAGGCUCUCCGCCCCCCUCGUGUCAACUCAGUUCCCCCAUAUGAUGCUCUACAUGAUGCCUUCCUUAACUUGCUCAAGUCAGUGUUACUUUUAAGUUGUUUAAAUGGUUGUUGUAGUUGGUUUCUCACGAGUUAUGACGUGACAGUCUUUCACAAGAUAUGACAUCCACAUGAUAACAUAUUUCCAGUUAGGAUUUUGAUCAUGAUCAUCAGUUUGAUCACAUAUCAAAUCAAAGUUUGAUUAGGGACGUAUCAGUAUCAGAGAGAACUCUGCUAACGUUGUGCCUUUACCUGUCUGUCUAACAUAGGUGUAGAUUGUGACUCUUUACAGAGGGAAUAGGACAGUGAGAGAGAAGUUUAACAUAGAUAUACUGUAGUGUACAUGUUCAUGCAUUUAAGAUGAGAUGGAAGCGUGUUAUUUAGACCAAUGCCCAGGGGAAGAUCUCACAGGUGUCAGUCCAUAGUUGGUAACUUUACUUCUCUCUAAAGGUCAGUCUCUUUCUCUCUCUCUCUCUCUCUCUCUCUCUCGCUCUCUCUCUCUGGUCCUCAUGAUAAAUGCACCUUGUAAUGGCAGCUAUUUAGAUCAAUUAUCCUAUCCUGUCUCCUGUCAAAGGCCUGCUGUGCCUAAUGGAAUUUCAUGAAGAGACAUAUCUUAUGCAUCGCAUAUAUUAUGGGUUUCUGAGCCUGUUUACAUCUACUGUAGCUGCCUGCCAUCCUUCCCAUGGGAAGAUGUAUUUGUAGUUGACUGAAUGUAAGGUUUAUUACCUUAGACUAAUGCUGAGUCCCAAAUGGCACCCAUAUGGCUCCUGUCAAAAGCAGUGGACUAUAUAGGGAAUAGGGUUCCAUUUGGGAUGCAUCAUUGAGUUUUAUACCGUAUUUACCUUGGUGUUUUCCCCCGCCCUAUCUCUCUACUACCAGUCUCUAGCCAAGAAGCUGUGAUGAUCUCACUGGUAAUGUCAUGUGGUGUCCUCUGGACAUACCUACCUUCUACGGGGCGUGGCACUCUACUUUUUCAGCUAACAGCUUCUUUUAUAUUGUUUAUUUGUUUGUUCGUUGUUUAUAUGUUUGUUUGUAUUUGAUUUCUUUCUUCUUUUUUUAAUCAACUUUUGGAGAUAUACACUCAGCAAUUUAGAAACGGAUACUCCCCCAGCAUGAGGGCUACAUACCUGUCCAUGACUGAGGACCAGAUCAGACACUUUGGGAAUGAUUUCCAGGCAUAGAGCUGCUCCUCCCUCCCUCCUCCUCUUUAAUCUCUGCCAUCUCCAAGAGGGUUCUCAAACUGGCAAACACACAUACACACACAACUACUCCAGCAGUGUGUGACUUUGUGGCUGCUACACGGACCCACUUCUCGUCCAACUCACUGGACUGGACCAAGGCCUGAUAUGAGGAAAGGUGUCACACACAGUUGUCCCAUCCCAAACCCCAGAGCCCAGUGUCUAUGUCUUAGUCACCUUGACUCUAGCCCAUAGAAUUAGAAUGAUUCUAUUAUGUGAUUCUAUUCAAUCUAUUUCAGUUCUCCCUUGCUGUCUCCAGAGAAUGCAGCAAUGUAAAGCCCUACUAUUCCACUUCCACAUUGCAUGUUGUGUCCACUGUCUGAAGGUGUAGUCAAAAUAAAUUCUGCCGAAGUUCUCUUGGAAAUAACACUGAACUUUUCUAAUAGCUUUAGAUUUAAAUAUUUUGGUUUGUCUGCAGCAUUUGUUUUAGGCAAAACCUUUGAAAAUGUAAGAUAGAGAAAUUAUAUAUAUUUUUUAUUUUCAUUUCAUUUGACCUAUAACAUCAUACUUACAACAUGUCCUUAGGCCACCAAUUCAGUAUGUGAGUCCUCAUAUUUCCCAUCUCUUUGUGUAGUAGUAGUGUUGAGAAAAAAAAAUGUUAAAAUGGAAAUUGUCAUAAUAAUGACUUCUUUUAAAAACGCUAGCUUGAUUCAUUCACUCUGACGAGACAAUAGCAACUUCUACAGGAAAUUGCUUUUAUAAUGAUCUAUUGUUCAGAUACUAAUGAUAUGAUUAGUCUAUUUUGAAAUUAAACUUAUUCUAAAACAUA